rnacentral:lncRNA from 1 species
UUCGUGACUAUGCCCGUGUUUUAUGUGACUAUUUGUGAUCAAACUUGCUUUCGUUGUAACUGUAUUUGACCAAUUCACCGAUUUAUGUUAUAUGUGAUUAACCAUGACCAAAUUUAUCCUUAAUGUGACAAACUAUGAUUAAAUUUGUAUUCAGUGUGAUUGUCUAUGACCAGGAUAGUCUUAACUUUGACUAAGUCACAACCGGUUACAAUCAACAAAAAAUUAGUCACAAACAGUCAUAAUAAAUACAUAUUUGGUCACAUGAGAUCAUCACAAACAACUCUGCACGAACCUUAGACCAAUAUCACAAUCCAACACUAUUUCUAAUACAUUUAACUUAAAUCGACGAUCAAAAAUACUAGAUUCACCUCCAAUGCACAAUCAAUCACCACCGCGUUCUCAAAUGUAGAUCAACACAACAGUAGAUUUAUAUCACCCACAAAUCUAAACACCACAAUCACAACCACCAUUGGAGGCGACAUAUCAUAAUCAUGCUCCACUGCAACAGCUCCAAUUGGAAUCGAAGCUUCAUAUUCUAUUCCCAAUGGGUAGUUAUUUUAGCACCAAUCAAUGAAGCCCGCCAGAAGUCAACUUUGAAGUUUAGGAGCCGAUCAUUUUUCAACAAAGUAAAGCAGGAUAGAGUUGUGAAUAAAUCUUUGAUGAGAAGAUCUGAUAGUUUACAGUCUUCGUCGGUACUUCUGCAAGUAGAGACGAGCUAUCGUUGCAAGCAACUUCAUCGCGCCCGAUAUGUUGCUUCCUUUGUCACGUUGUAAGCAAUGAUCGACAAUACUUCGUCGUACCGGAAAGGAAGAUGGUUGGGUGAGUGGGUGGUGGAAAGGGUGAGAGAGAGAGAGAGAGAGAGAGAGAGAGAGAGAGAGAGAGAGGGUGGGGGGGAGAUGUGGAAAAAUAUUUAGGGUUUAGAUUUGGGAAUGAAAUGAGGGUGGAGUGGGUGGUGGGUAUGUCGAUUAGGUUUAAUUAAAUUUUUAUUAAUAAUGAUUAUUAAAAUUUAAUUACUACAUGAUUUGUGAAAUGAAAAUUAAUUUCCCUUAUUUUCAAAAAUUAGUCUUUAAAUGUAGAUUUCAGUGUAAUUUUUCUUUUAAAUUUUUUAGAGGCCCUUUAUAUCCUGAGGCCCAAAGCAAUACCUAGUUUGCCUUGGGCCAAGGCCAGGGCCGAGUCGGGCCUGUUAUGAGUAUUCGAUCAGGACUUCAGUCAAGCAUUUUCAAUCAGUGUAGCAUCCUUGUAUAUAUAAAAGUGUUCCAAUAAUUAAAAGUAACAGCCUUAAUUUUCACAUAAUAAAAUAGAACGUAGCAUGAAUGAUGAUAUAAAUAUACACAAAAUUCACUCACCACCUUAAUUUUUUGUCGAUUCUCUCACAAAUAUAGGUAUAAGGUAUGGAGACAACUUGUUUGUUUCCCUAAAAUAGCAAGAAUUGUAAAGUAUUGAGAAAACUCAAAUGUUGUUCAAUAUCUGGUAACAAUGAUGUCGAUCCUAGAUAACCCGUCUGUGAAGAAGAGGUAAGAGAUUGGGGUGAAAUGUCAUUUCAGCUUUUACCCACACAGCAGAAAAAGGUCUAGGUGUCAAGGACCGCAGCUUUACUUAGCCCCUUGACACUAUCGCAGUCGCAGUUUGCCCAACUUUGGCCGCACAUUGUAAAUAUUACUUCAAGUUUGAGUUGUAAUUUUCGUUUCAUUGUAAUAGUUAUUUUAAUUGUAAAAUAGCUCUAAUAUUGGUAAAAGAUUAGUAUGAUUCCUCGUCUUUUAAACGUCUACUCCCGUCACUUGGGUUUUUGUUCAGAAUGCUAUUAUAGGGGGUAUUAGUCAUUCAAAAAUCUUUCAAGCUCACUGGUGUCCGCCCCCUGCACCAGCAUUUGUAAUUUUCUGCUUUCAUCAAUUGUAAUGUUCAGUUUUCAGCAAUCAAU